UACGGAGGGUGCAAGCGUUAUCCGGAAUCACUGGGUUUAAAGGGUGCGUAGGCGGCUUGAUAAGUCAGAGGUGAAAGCUCACCGCUUAACGGUGGAACUGCCUUUGAUACUGUCAGGCUUGAAUCAGCGCGAGGCAGGCGGAAUGUGGCAUGUAGCGGUGAAAUGCUUAGAUAUGCCAUAGAACACCGAUUGCGAAGGCAGCCUGCCAGAGCUGUAUUGACGCUGAGGCACGAAAGCGUGGGGAGCGAACAGG
rnacentral:rRNA from 1 species